ACUUAGAUACUGAGAGGAUAUAUACAUGUAGUUCUCUUGUUCGAGAUCUAUGUCAUGGAGUUCGCAUGCCAGUAGCUUCUUUACUUUACGGCAAUUUUAGUUGAGUGACCAUUACACUUGUGAAGUUUGCAAUAGGCAUUCUCAUCGCAGCCCAUUUUCUUAGGGUAUUAUUAUUUGGGUCUAGUUUUUUGGAAGUCGGAUAUCAACUUCAUAUUGGCUUGAUUUGUACCUCUGGACUAAUGCCAAUUUUUAAUUUUUCGAAAGCUGCCCAAUUAGCACCUCGAUGAAGAGCAUCUUCGAUUGGUUAGGAUCUACUCAUGUAUAGGCCAGCUUGUGGAAUUUGGGAUAGGAGGAAUAUGCAACGCUUGUGCCGGCAAUAAGCCUGGAAUAUUAUGAAUAGCCAAAAAAUGCUGCUACCAUUGUUGAGGUUGAUGGAAUUCCUCUUAUAAUCAAAUGUUUAUCAAGUCCUGUCCAGAACACUGUGAGUACACGGGUUUCUCGCCUCAUUUAUGUUUCUAUAGUGUUUAAAUGGAAACUCAAAAACUCAAAAUUUAUCUAUUAUAAAUUCUUUUUAAUUUCAACAACAGAUCUUCUUUAUAAUUUUCAUAUAUUUUACAUUAUUAUACAGUAGGUUAUUGCUUGUAAGUUUCUAUUUGUUUUGAUCUUAGAUUAUUAUGAGAGUAUCAAUCCCAAAAUUUGUGAUGCAUUUACUCGAUCAUUUAUAAGCCAGCUCGGGCUAUGAAUCCUGAUUCCUAAAUUUAUUUUGCUUUCUUCUUCUUUUGGUUCGAUUUAAAUUGUUUGAUCAUAACCGAUCAUGAGUGAAAUUUGGAGGAAGUGGUAGAUCCUACAAGGUCGUAUUAAUUAAAGACCUCAAUAGGCGUUUCAAGCUCGAUGUAUGUUGGCCCUUAUGAUGCAAGAAUUUGGUUUACAAGUGGGUGUAGAUCAAGGGUUGAUGUUAAUCUAGUACCCGAGAUAAUUCGAGUCGUUCCUAUGACCCGAGGAGGGGCCAAUAUUCAUGCUUAGGACUCUAGUUUUAUCACCAAACUCAAGACAAUUAAAUGUUGCUUGAUUGUGGACUAAGCGUAUGCGGACUGAUUUUUACGUGUCACAUUUUACUUGGCUAUACCAUCUUAUUAAACCAAUCGACUCAAGGUGGAAUACUGGUCGAAGGGAUUAUCUUUGAUGUUACAAGACUAAGAUUCAAAACUUUUCCAUUGUGAUUUCAACCACAGUUUAUGUAUGUUUUCAGUGACAAUAAUACCCGACUCUUUCACAAA